AAUGUAGGACUCAAUCCCAGGACCCCAGAAUCAUGACCUGAGCUGAAGGCAGAUGGUCAACCAACAGAGGUACCCAGGCAUUCCAGGAAACAUUCCUAAAGAUGCCAGGGACGGAAACCCAAAAUGGCAGCAACUGAGCUCCAGGACUACACAGCAGGACACAGACAAGAAUGAGGCCACCCAGAAUGAGGAGAAUACGUUCUCCAUUAUUUCCUGCAGCUUGAAAACAAAACCUUAACUUUCCUGCAGCUUGAAAACAAAACCUUAACUUCAGGAGGAAAGCUCCUAAGAUUCGAAGUUCAGAGAAGUUCUCAAAUUGGGCAAGAAAAACCUCAAAAAAGGAUUAUUUUUCUUCUUUGAUUCUUGAGGGAUGGCUCUAAUUUCACCAACUGCAUUCUUUCCUAAUUGAAUUCAGAGCAGCAUUCAAUUUUAAAAUGACAGUAAGAGCAACAAGUUCUUCCGGAAGAUUUCAAGAAUAAUGCCCUGGCAAGAAGAGCGUGAGGAGUGGGUGCUGAGACCAGGGUGGUGUGCAGAGCCCUGAGGUAGAAGAUUUCUCCUGACGCAGCUUCAUGGAUCAGGGCCAGUCACUGACAUUUUAUGUCAGGGUUUUAUCCUCUUAAAAAAUAAAUAUAAUGA